AUUUGUCAAAACAUGGUCCAUUUAAAAAUAACUGGAUCCACAUUAUUGAUGCAAAAUUAAAGGCAACUCAUAAGGUUUUCUGCAAAUAAAUGGUAAAAUCAAUGAAGAUUAUGCUAAAAAGGUAAAAAUUGUUAGAGAAAGAGAUUUCCUUUAUAAUCUAUGAGGAUGUAGCAAGAAAGAACAAAUAAAAAU
rnacentral:lncRNA from 1 species